GACAGAGGUGCCGAGCGUUAGGCGGAAUCACUGGGCUUAAAGCGUGUGUAGGCGGACCGUUAAGUACCUUGUGAAAUCCCCCGGCUCAACCGGGGAACGGCUGGGUAUACUGGCGGUCUUGAGCCAUCCAGGGGCAGUCGGAACAGACGGUGGAGCGGUGAAAUGCGUAGAUAUCGUCUGGAACGCCGAAGGUGAAAACAGACUGCUGGGCCGACACUGACACUGAGAGACGAAAGCUAGGGGAGCGAAUGGG
rnacentral:rRNA from 1 species